CGUGCAAGUCGUCCUGUCGCUCUGCCGAUAAAUGUCGGGAGGGAGGAAAGUCCGGGCAACACAGAGCGCCAUACUUCCUAACGGGAAGGCUUCUGACUGGAGACGGUCAGAAGACAGAUAGUGCCACAGAAAACAAACCGCCUCAAGACACAGGGCCUGCCCUGAGCAUGUCGAAGGGUAAGGGUGAAAAGGUGGGGUAAGAGCCCACCGCCCCGACAGUGAUGAAGGGGGCAAGGCAAACCUUAUGGGUUGAAAGAUCAAAUAGGCCUCGGGCAAAGAGCUGCUCGUUCGAUUUCUUCUUUUCGAAGAAGAAUUCCGGGGUGGGUAGAUCGAUAGAGUUCUGAUGUGAAUCAGGAUCGAGAUAAAUGACAGGAAUCCCGUGCAAUCGGGAUACAGAACCCGGCUUACAGACUUGCACUUUUU
rnacentral:RNase_P_RNA from 1 species